UACGGGGGGGGCAAGCGUUGUUCGGAAUUACUGGGCGUAAAGGGCUCGUAGGCGGCCAACUAAGUCAGACGUGAAAUCCCUCGGCUUAACCGGGGAACUGCGUCUGAUACUGGAUGGCUUGAGAUUGGGAGAGGGAUGCGGAAUUCCAGGUGUAGCGGUGAAAUGCGUAGAUAUUGGGAGGAACACCAGUGGCGAAGGCGGCGCACUGGACCGGAACUGACGCUGAGGCGCGAAAGCGUGGGGAGCAAACGGG
rnacentral:rRNA from 1 species